CAAACUUCGCCUGGCACUCCCUGAUUUACUUUGCCCCACCCUUGCAACUGAGUCUGCUAAUCUGCAGAAUGUUAAAGUCGAUCUUUGCAAUUACUUUUCUAGGGCUGUGUUUUCAGUCUUCAAAUAUCCUCCAGGCUGAGUUUGUCUUAUUCCACACACCAAAAACCUGGCAUGAAGUGCAGAGCAUUUGCAGGGACAAUUGCUUUGACCUGGCCACCAUCAAUGAUAUGGAAGAGAUGGCAAAAGUACUUGAAGCUGUCAAAGAUCAAUAUGAUUCUGCCGUGUGGAUCGGGCUUUGGAGAGGCAACACAUUUAAGUGGCACUGGUCUCUGGCAGACAAAGAAUUCUACAAAGAGGGAGAGAGAAAUUAUUUUAUUUGGAGCUUUUUGAAUGACAAUUUCAACUGUGGAUCUUACAAAUACGGGACACUGAGAGCAAACAACUGUGGAAAUUCUAUUUAUUUCAUUUGCUUUGAUGAAACACAACAAGGUAAAGAUCAGUACAUCCUUAUUACACAAAGUAAAGCUUGGAUUGCUGCUCGUGACUACUGCAGAACACACUACACAGACCUGACCAGUUUAAGGAAUGACGCUGAGUACCAGGUGAUCCAGGAAGUAGCCAGUGGCUUUGAGGUCUGGGUUGGCCUCUUCAGAGACCCCUGGGAGUGGUCAGACCAAAGUGACUCGUCGUUCAGAUACUGGAAAGCAAACAAACCAGUGUAGACUGAGCGUUACAACUGUGGUGCCUUGGUGAAGCUGGAAUCAGGAAGAUGGGAUGAACUGGCUUGUGAGGACACAUAUCCAUUCCUCUGUGACUGCAGAAUAAAGUUGAGGAUCAUUAAUAUAAGGUUGAGCUCACAGGAUUCAGUGUCAGAACUCAAAAAGUCUUUAGUACAAGAAAACAUGUUGGAGCAAAUGAAGCAGCAACUAAGGAAUAAGAAUGUGAGCGCAAAUAUUCAACUAGAGUGGAGAAAACAAGAUGAUGGGAGAGUUUUUAUCAAUGAACCCUAAAGAAACAGCUGACGAGAGAAGAAUCUGGCCAACAGACUGUUUUUGAAUAUUGAAUACAUCAUAUAUAGAAGUAAUCAGUAGAAAAGAUAAAUUAUUUUGGAUUUAAUAAUUGUUUUGUUCUGUUUUUUGUUGGUGGUGGGUUUGUUUGUUUUUUCAGAAAUUCUAAUGUUUUUCAGUUCCCAUUUACAAACACAAUUUUCUUAAACUCCUGGACAUGCCAAGACUCAGCCUGAGAAAGUAAAAAUGGUAUAUGUAGGUACUGGAUCUGAAAAGGGAAGCUAAAGCAGAACUCCAUUAAAUCUGCAGGGGGUGAGUCCUCCGGUUGGAAAAAGAGGGGGGGAGGAGUCAGGCCACAUAGAAAUCUGUGAUGAAAAUCCCAUAGGCUUAAUAUUAUGUGUAUUUUGAAUAUUAUAAUCCCUGUUAUUGUCCACAAAGAAUAAUGUUUUAUGCUCAAAAAUUGUGACUUUUGACCAUAACUGCUGUCCAGACAAAAAAAAACUUAUUUUUUAUAUUGGUUUACAAAUUAAUGAAGAGCACAAAACAUGUUUAGAAGCAAUGCAUUAGACACACAUAAUGUCAAAAAAAGUGCUGUCACAUUAUGGUUUGUAUGAUUUAUAUGCUCCUAAUCCAGUUUUGUCCUUUCUCCUAGUGAUGUGACAAAUUUCAUGUUUCCUUUAAUGGAUUAAAAUUGGUCACUGAAAAUUGUGCACAUCUAACACAGUUUGUGUGGUUGUUUCGAGCCUUUAUUCGCUGACUGGUAGUUGUUGCAUUUUUAGGCUGUCAUUUUUACUUUUAUGAACUUUACUAUGUGUGUUUUGAGAAGCAAUUAUUCUUCUGCAUACUGAGAAUCCAUUUUCAUAUAUUUAUGUGACAUUUAUUUUAAUCUACUGUCUUUACAAGAGUGUUUGUUCUUGGUGAAAAUGUACAUAGUCAUGACUACACACAGAAUACUGCUUUACCUUGUGAGUUGUAUACUUAUUCCAUCCACCCAUCCAUCUUCUUCCGCUUAUCCGGGGCCGGGUUGCGGCGGCAGCAGCCUAAGCAGGGAAGCCCAGACCAAACACCAAGACAUGUCCUGGGUCUCUCCCAGGGCCUCCUCCCGGUUUUAUUCUUAUUUUACUUUGUUAUUGCAACACUUGAAGUUAUAGAAUAUGCUUUAGGGAUACAAUAUAUCUCAAGAUUAUAUAUGAGACAUGACAUUAUACAGUGCCCUGUUUUUCUUUAAAGAUACUGUUUGUAAGUGCUUGUGUUUAAAUUAAAGCUUCCAAAAUACAUUAAAA